GACGGAGGAUGCAAGCGUUAUCCGGAAUUAUUGGGCGUAAAGCGUCCGCAGGUGGCUGUUCAAGUCUGCUGUCAAAGCGCAGAGCUUAACUCUGUACAGGCGGUGGAAACUGAAGAGCUAGAGUAUGGUAGGGGUAGAGGGAAUUCCCGGUGUAGCGGUGAAAUGCGUAGAUAUUGGAAAGACCACCGAUGGCGAAGGCACUCUACUGGGCCAUUACUGACACUGAGAGACGAAAGCUAGGGGAGCAAAUGGG
rnacentral:rRNA from 1 species